rnacentral:misc_RNA from 1 species
CCCAUACCCACUAUGGGAAUCACAUCCAGCUCAUUCCUAUUGCCAUCAUCCAAUAACAACUUUAUUAUGGUCUCCUUAUCAUCAUCCCUGCCUAAAAUAGCAGAUACAUCUACAAGAGACGUUGUGGGUAUUUUCUGUGAUGAUGGGUGUUCUCCAAAACCCUCCCUCAGACUCAAACCAAGAACAUCCUUUUGUUUUACUAAAUGAUCAAAUCUCUCAAGGAUCUCUUCUAACUUUGCUUCUAUCUCAUUUUUAAAUGGAGAAACAGAAGUGAAAAACUUCCGCACCUGAUCUAUGCCUGUUUGCGAUUCAGCUUCCAACUCCGAUCGAAGAGCUUCAUAAGCAAGCUCAUCCAAUAAGUCAUCGGCUUCAUAGACAGCAACUUUAAGCUCAUCAAGCCAGUGUUUCACAGCUAGCCUGAUGAUCUGCUUCUCCUCAGCAUCAUCGAGUAGUCCAUUGACAGAUACCAAAGUAGUCUUCAACUUCUUGAGCAGUCUAUCCUUAGGUCUUCGGGUCUGGAACAAACCAACAACCUGAGGAGAAGCCACCCUGUCAAAAAGGACCUGAAGAAAAGCAGAAACAAAUGCUCCUCCAACAGCUGCUGCAUCCAUGAUUUUUCACUUUUCGCGAAG